CUUUCUUAAGGGUUUUUAAUCUCUAUCUCUCUUUUAACAUGUCUACGGAUGAGAUGCGAGGAUCUCUGCAAUCCGAUGUAUGAUAUGGACAUCAAGGAAGCCUUAGCCACUUGCAUCUCAAGCAUUCAAUGGAUCUCUCCAUAAAGCACGAAUAUCUCCCCGAAGAUCUACAGGUUGGUGGAUAGUAACAUUCUUACGCCGAUAUAAUUGAAUCUUGUUUGGCUUCCAUUCAUCAAUACAACCAAGACACAAUGACAAAAGCUAAUGGAACUUCGAACUGAUAGGGAUCUUGCUGGCCGAAACUGGUCUGCUUCAAUGAUCUUCUCAUUUGGUGAAGCCUCUCCUUCACCUAUGGUGAAACCGAACUGCAGAUUGAACUGAUGAGAGUGAAAGGUGGCAAAUGACAGGUUGAACUAGACGGUCUAUAUUAAGGUAGUUCAGACAUCUGUUCAUUAGCAUUUAAAAAGUACAUCUGUUGAUAUAUAUGAUAAAGAUCAGGCCAUUAAUGACACUACCUUUCCCUUCUGAA